rnacentral:rRNA from 1 species
AGAGUUUGAUCAUGGCUCAGAAUGAACGCUGGCGGCGUGCCUAACACAUGCAAGUCGAGCGAGAAAGUUCCUUCGGGAAUGAGUACAGCGGCAGACGGGUGAGUAACGCGUGAGAAUCUACCCUUUAGUGAAGAAUACUUUCGAGAAAUCGGAAUUAAUACUGCAUAAGUCCCUUAUGAAUAAUUUGGGAGAAAGAUGGCCUCUUUGCUGUCGCUAAAGGAUGAGCUUGCGUACUAUUAGCUAGUUGGUGAGGUAAAGGCUCACCAAGGCGAAGAUGGUUAACCGGCCUGAGAGGGUGUACGGUCACACUGGAACUUAGACACGGUCCAGACUCCUACGGGAGGCAGCAGUGAGGAAUAUUGCGCAAUGGACGAAAGUCUGACGCAGCGACGCCGCGUGGAGGAUGAAGGUUUUCGGAUUGUAAACUCCUGUUAAGUGGGAAGAAAUCCUUGCUUCUAAUACAAGCGGGGGAUGACGGUACCAUUAGAGAAAGCACCGGCUAACUUCGUGCCAGCAGCCGCGGUAAUACGAGGGGUGCGAGCGUUAUUCGGAAUUAUUGGGCGUAAAGGGUGCGUAGGCGGCAUGUUAAGUCAGUUGUUAAAUUUCCCGGCCUAACCGGGAGUAUGCAGCAGAUACUGAUGUGCUAGAGGAUGGAAGAGAGAAGUGGAAUUCUCGGAGUAGCGGUAAAAUGCGUAGAUCUCGAGAGGAACACCGAUGGCGAAGGCAGCUUCUUGGUCCAUAUCUGACGCUGAGUGCACGAAAGCGUGGGGAGCAAACAGGAUUAGAUACCCUAGUAGUCC